rnacentral:lncRNA from 1 species
UGGCCGUCCAACAUUAGCGAGUAGGACAAAAAAAAACAACGGAUUCGAUUGGGUUUGGGUCGAUCGGGUGUUAAUUGCUCGAAACAUUUGUAACUUUAGGUGGGUCCAAAUUAUGAAACAGAGAAAUACACGUGGGGCCUACAAAAAAAUUGUGUGGGACCAAAGAAGAAAGAGGAGACAAGGGUACAUGGACCACCUCCUCUUUGUUCAAGUUGCGCGAAACACAAAAAGGGGUCCCCUUAACCGUCAAUACCGGCUAUAGAUAACACGUGGUAAGCACCCAUGUGAU